rnacentral:tRNA from 1 species
GACGCUGGAGACAUUGGAUAGACACACUCGUAAUGAAUAGGUCAUCGGUUCGAUUCCGAUAGGCGGCUCCA